GAAGGUACGACAUAGGUAUGAUCAUUUUAACGCAAUUUGCAUUUUCUCAGGGAAAUUUCUCCCUAAUUGAUUCAAAUUUUCUUCGUUGAGGUUUUGAAUGAUGGUGGCGGCCAUAGGAGAUCUAAUAUUUUCUCUCAUUUUCUCGGCAACCAAAUGCCGUUUAAGUUAUCGUUUUUGUUCUCGAUUUCUUUUAUUGUAAUUUUCUCAUGGAAUGGUGAAAGUGCAAAGAUUGCUAGGAGAAUGUU